rnacentral:rRNA from 1 species
UGCAGUCGACGGUGAUCUCGGUGCUUGCACCGGGUGAUCAGUGGCGAACGGGUGAGUAACACGUGAGCAACCUACCCCUGACUCUGGGAUAACCCCGAGAAAUCGGAGCUAAUACCGGAUACGAGACGUACGGGCAUCUGUAACGUCUGGAAAGAAUUUUGGUCAGGGAUGGGCUCGCGGCCUAUCAGCUAGUUGGUGGGGUAACGGCCCACCAAGGCGACGACGGGUAGCCGGCCUGAGAGGGCGACCGGCCACACUGGGACUGAGACACGGCCCAGACUCCUACGGGAGGCAGCAGUGGGGAAUAUUGCACAAUGGGCGAAAGCCUGAUGCAGCGACGCCGCGUGGGGGAUGAAGGCCUUCGGGUUGUAAACCCCUUUCAGCAGGGAAGAAGCGAAAGUGACGGUACCUGCAGAAGAAGCGCCGGCUAACUACGUGCCAGCAGCCGCGGUAAUACGUAGGGCGCAAGCGUUGUCCGGAAUUAUUGGGCGUAAAGAGCUCGUAGGCGGUUUGUCGCGUCUGCUGUGAAAACCCGAGGCUCAACCUCGGGCCUGCAGUGGGUACGGGCAGACUAGAGUGCGGUAGGGGAGACUGGAAUUCCUGGUGUAGCGGUGGAAUGCGCAGAUAUCAGGAGGAACACCGA